rnacentral:rRNA from 1 species
UGGCUCAGAUUGAACGCUGGCGGUAUGCUUAACACAUGCAAGUCGAACGGUAACAGGCCUUCGGGCGCUGACGAGUGGCGGACGGGUGAGUAACGCGUAGGAAUCUGCCUCAUAGUGGGGGACAACGUGGGGAAACUCACGCUAAUACCGCAUACGCCCUACGGGGGAAAGCGGGGGAUCGUAAGACCUCGCGCUAUGAGAUGAGCCUGCGUUAGAUUAGCUAGUUGGUAGGGUAAAGGCCUACCAAGGCGACGAUCUAUAGCUGGUCUGAGAGGACGAUCAGCCACACUGGGACUGAGACACGGCCCAGACUCCUACGGGAGGCAGCAGUGGGGAAUAUUGGACAAUGGGCGCAAGCCUGAUCCAGCAAUACCGCGUGUGUGAAGAAGGCCUUAGGGUUGUAAAGCACUUUCAAUGGGGAGGAAAACCUGCCGGUUAAUACCCGGUAGCUUGACAUUACCUAUAGAAGAAGCACCGGCUAACUCCGUGCCAGCAGCCGCGGUAAUACGGAGGGUGCGAGCGUUAAUCGGAAUUACUGGGCGUAAAGCGUGCGUAGGCGGCUCGUUAAGUCAGAUGUGAAAGCCCUGGGCUUAACCUGGGAACUGCAUUUGAAACUGGCGAGCUAGAGUUGAGUAGAGGGGAGUGGAAUUUCAGGUGUAGCGGUGAAAUGCGUAGAUAUCUGAAGGAACACCAGUGGCGAAGGCGACUCCCUGGACUCAAACUGACGCUGAGGUACGAAAGCGUGGGUAGCAAACAGGAUUAGAUACCCUGGUAGUCC